rnacentral:rRNA from 1 species
GGGGUGCUCGAGUGGCGAACGGGUGAGCAACACGUGAGUAACCUGCCCUUGACUUUGGGAUAACUUCAGGAAACUGGGGCUAAUACCGGAUAGGAGCUCCUGCUGCAUGGUGGGGGUUGGAAAGUUUCGGCGGUUGGGGAUGGACUCGCGGCUUAUCAGCUUGUUGGUGGGGUAGUGGCUUACCAAGGCUUUGACGGGUAGCCGGCCUGAGAGGGUGACCGGCCACAUUGGGACUGAGAUACGGCCCAG